rnacentral:rRNA from 1 species
UACGAAGGGUGCAAGCGUUAUUCGGAAUGAUUGGGCGUAAAGGGUGCGUAGGCGGCAUGUUAAGUCAACUGUUAAAGUCUUCAGCCUAACUGAGGGUAUGCAGUAGAUACUGGCAAGCUAGAGUAUGGAAGAGAGAAGUGGAAUUCUCGGAGUAGCGGUAAAAUGCGUAGAUCUCGAGAGGAACACCGAUGGCGAAGGCAGCUUCUUGGUCCAUUACUGACGCUCAUGCACGAAAGCGUGGGGAGCAAACAGG